CUCAAAUAUAGAUAUAUGUAUAAAAAUAAUUACAAGUUUUAAUUCAAACAUGGCCGCCAGGCAUCUUGACUGACGCGUUUGAUUCGAUCUCGGCGCGUAAACAAAAGGCCAUUAGGCAAACAUAUAGUGUGUUAUAGUGUAUUAAAUUGUGUUUUUAAGUGUUUUUAUAUACUUUGGUGAGGUCUGUGUAUUAGAUUGCAUGCUCUGUUGAUACGCUAGGAUAGUCCUUUGCAUAUUUUUUGCAAAGAAACAUAUUAAGCCUUGCUUAGUCAAUCCUAAAGCCCUCAUAACACCCUCUUCAAAAAAUCUACUUUAUCAUCACGCUGCAUGGCUACGAGGAGUCGGUUUCGUGCCUGUCGUUCGGCGGUUCGGCCGGUGUGCUGGUCUCCGGCUGUCUGGGCGGCGAGCUGCGUCUUUGGCGACCCCAUUCGGGACGCACCACACUGCUGGCCCUACAGCAGAUGGCACACCGCCUGGGUGUUACCUGUUGCCAUAAUCUAUUAUCCAUCAGCAAACCAUAUGUACUCGUAUGUUUUCUUUCUGAAUAAAAAUGUGCCUUGGCAAGUAAA